rnacentral:rRNA from 1 species
GUCGAGAAUCUUUCACAAUGGGGGAAACCCUGAUGGAGCGACGCCGCGUGGAGGAUAAGGUCUUCGGAUUGUAAACUCCUGUCAUGCGAGAGCAAGAUUGGUCAUUUAAUAGGUGAUUAAUUUGAUAGUAUCGCAAGAGGAAGAGACGGCUAACUCUGUGCCAGCAGCCGCGGUAAUACAGAGGUCUCAAGCGUUGUUCGGAAUCACUGGGCGUAAAGGGUGCGUAGGUGGCGUGGUAAGUCAGAUGUGAAAGCCCAGGGCUCAACCCUGGAAUUGCAUCCGAUACUGCCGUGCUAGAGAACUGAAGGGGAGUCUGGAAUUCUCGGUGUAGCAGUGAAAUGCGUAGAUAUCGAGAGGAACACCAAUGGCGAAGGCAAGACUCUGGGCAGUUUCUGACACUGAGGCACGAAGGCCAGGGUAGCGAACGGGAUUAGAAACCCCAGUAGUCC